AUUUGAAGGCACGAGUACGUUGUCAGCAUAUAACGCACCUGGCCAAAGGCUGGGGCUGCAGUGUUUUGUUGGGACCUCCAGGAAAACUGUGGACAGAAAGGAAGACCACCUAGGCUCACAGAUGGAGAGGAAUUGUGUCUCACGAUUCUCAGGAAUUGUGUCCAGACGUACAGGAUGUUUUCAUCACUCCGAAAAGAAACCCCGCACCUAUUAUCAGUCACUCUCCAGCCCCUGCCCUCAGCCCUAGCCUUUUAUAACCACGCUGGAAAACCGUCUGGCAGUGUCUGCUGAAGCUACUCACACCCAUACUUUAUGACGCAGCAACUGAACGCCCGGGUGAGGAUGCCAAGUAUAGGGAAGAGAAGUGCCUUGCCUGAGAUCAUGCACCUAAGAGAUGUCAGAGCCAGGAUUUGAUCCUGGCCGGUGGAAUCCAGUGCUUGGGCUCUGGCCACGGGACUCAGCUGCCACAGGUCUCUUUUUUUUUCCUUGAGGAGGACAUUGCUGGACGGCUCCAUUCGAUCCUAUCUCUCAAGAUAACAUUUUCAUGAAAUAUUAAAAGAAUGGAAAUCCAAAAAUCCACGAUGAAUAGAAUAUUAAAAUGUUAAAUAAAGGCAGGAUCCGCAUGGCUGAUUUUCCCUUUUGCUUCAGGCUCAAAUAUGGCCCUGUUAGGCCAACUUAUUCCCGGAGUCCUCACCCCAUGGCCUGCCCUCAAUACAUGAUAGUGCGUCCAAAGCCCAGCCUUGGGCUGAUUGUUCUUCUUUGCUCUUUACCCUGUCUUGUCCUUGGGCCUCUCGGAUGGAUGAUCUUGUACGCCCUUAGUUUUCACCUCAGCGUGGGGGAACUCCAAAUUCUCCAUGCCCAGCUUCAGGUACACCACUUCCCGUAGGUUUGUGUCCUGUAUUUCCAUUGAUCUUCCAGAAUCUCCCGCUAAACACUGCUGACCUCCUAUAGACAUCUUGUCCUUCACUGAAUUCAUCCCUCCCUCCCUCCUGUCCUCAGGUCUCUUUUGGACUGUCCUGUCGGUCAGCGGCAGCAGCCUCGUUUGAGAUCAUUGCCAUUUUCUAUGCCUAUCAAGUCUUGUUGGUGUUUAUUCUCGAAUACCACCGAUGGCUGCCCUUUCUUCUCCAGUAACUCUUGA